UACGAAGGGGGGCUAGCGUUGCUCGGAAUCACUGGGCGUAAAGGGCGCGUAGGCGGAUUUCUAAGUCAGAGGUGAAAGCCCAGGGCUCAACCCUGGAAUGCCUUUGAUACUGGAGAUCUAGAGACCGGAAGAGGUAAGUGGAACUGCGAGUGUAGAGGUGAAAUUCGUAGAUAUUCGCAAGAACACCAGUGGCGAAGGCGGCUUACUGGUCCGGUUCUGACGCUGAGGCGCGAAAGCGUGGGGGAGCAAACAGG
rnacentral:rRNA from 1 species